rnacentral:rRNA from 1 species
GAGAGUUUGAUCCUGGCUCAGGACGAACGCUGGCGGCGUGCUUAACACAUGCAAGUCGAACGGUGAACCUUGGAGCUUGCUUCGAGGGGAUCAGUGGCGAACGGGUGAGUAACACGUGAGUAACCUGCCCCGGACUCUGGAAUAAGCGCUGGAAACGGCGUCUAAUACCGGAUACGAGACGCAACCGCAUGGUUAGUGUCUGGAAAGUUUUUCGGUCUGGGAUGGACUCGCGGCCUAUCAGCUUGUUGGUGAGGUAAUGGCUCACCAAGGCGACGACGGGUAGCCGGCCUGAGAGGGCGACCGGCCACACUGGGACUGAGACACGGCCCAGACUCCUACGGGAGGCAGCAGUGGGGAAUAUUGCACAAUGGGCGAAAGCCUGAUGCAGCGACGCCGCGUGAGGGAUGACGGCCUUCGGGUUGUAAACCUCUUUCAGCAGGGAAGAAGCGAAAGUGACGGUACCUGCAGAAGAAGCACCGGCUAACUACGUGCCAGCAGCCGCGGUAAUACGUAGGGUGCGAGCGUUGUCCGGAAUUAUUGGGCGUAAAGAGCUUGUAGGCGGUUUGUCGCGUCUGCUGUGAAAAUCCGGGGCUCAACCCCGGACUUGCAGUGGGUACGGGCAGACUAGAGUGUGGUAGGGGAGACUGGAAUUCCUGGUGUAGCGGUGAAAUGCGCAGAUAUCAGGAGGAACACCGAUGGCGAAGGCAGGUCUCUGGGCCACUACUGACGCUGAGAAGCGAAAGCAUGGGGAGCGAACAGGAUUAGAUACCCUGGUAGUCCAUGCCGUAAACGUUGGGCGCUAGGUGUGGGACUCAUUCCACGAGUUCCGUGCCGCAGCUAACGCAUAAGCGCCCGC